UACGGAGGGUGCAAGCGUUAUCCGGAUUCACUGGGUUUAAAGGGUGCGUAGGGGGCUUUGUAAGUCAGUGGUGAAAGCCCGGAGCUUAACUCCGGAACUGCCAUUGAUACUGCUUAGCUUGAAUCAAGUAGAGGUGGAUGGAAUAUUACAUGUAGCGGUGAAAUGCUUAGAUAUGUAAUAGAACACCGAUUGCGAAGGCAGUUCACUAUGCUUGUAUUGACACUGAGGCACGAAAGCGUGGGGAUCAAACAGG
rnacentral:rRNA from 1 species